GAUGAACGCUGGCGGCGUGCCUAAUACAUGCAAGUCGAGCGAACAGACGAGGAGCUUGCUCCUCUGACGUUAGCGGCGGACGGGUGAGUAACACGUGGAUAACCUACCUAUAAGACUGGGAUAACUUCGGGAAACCGGAGCUAAUACCGGAUAAUAUAUUGAACCGCAUGGUUCAAUAGUGAAAGACGGUUUUGCUGUCACUUAUAGAUGGAUCCGCGCCGCAUUAGCUAGUUGGUAAGGUAACGGCUUACCAAGGCAACGAUGCGUAGCCGACCUGAGAGGGUGAUCGGCCACACUGGAACUGAGACACGGUCCAGACUCCUACGGGAGGCAGCAGUAGGGAAUCUUCCGCAAUGGGCGAAAGCCUGACGGAGCAGCGCCGCGUGAGUGAUGAAGGUCUUCGGAUCGUAAAACUCUGUUAUUAGGGAAGAACAAAUGUGUAAGUAACUAUGCACGUCUUGACGGUACCUAAUCAGAAAGCCACGGCUAACUACGUG
rnacentral:rRNA from 1 species